rnacentral:rRNA from 1 species
ACCAAUAUUAGCCCAAACAAUAGCCAAUUAAACUAACAUAACCAAACCAAAAACCAAACCAUUUAUAAAACAGUAGUAUAGGCGAUAGAAAUUAUAAUCAGGCGCUAUAGAGAAAGUACCGCAAGGGAAACAAUGAAAGACAACUAAUAGUAAAAAAUAGCAAAGAUAACCCCUUGUACCUUUUGCAUAAUGAUUUAACUAGAAACACAUUAGCAAAAAGAAAUUUAAGUUAAACACCCCGAAACCAGACGAGCUACUUACGAGCAGUUCUAAGAACGAACUCAUCUAUGUGGCAAAAUAGUGAAAAGACUUAUAAGUAGAGGCGACACACCUAUCGAGCCUGGUGAUAGCUGGUUAUCCAAAAUUGAAUUUUAGUUCUAAUUUAAAUCUACCAAAAAAAUUCACAAUUAAAAUGUAGUUUUAAAUAAUAAUUUAUAAAGGUACAGCUUUAUAAAUUCAGGAUACAACCUUAAUUAGAGAGUUAAAACAAAAAUCACCAUAGUUGGCCUAAAAGCAGCCACCAAUUGAGACAGCGUUAAAGCUCAACAAUAACAAACAACUUAAUCCCAACAACAAUAAUAAACUCCUAAUAGCCUAUUGGAUUAUAAUUUACUCUAAAGUAAAAGCACUAAUGUUAAUAUGAGUAACAAGAAACAACUUCUCCAUGCAUAAGUGUAUAUCAAAACGAACCCAUCAUUGAUAUUUAACAAAAAUAAACCAAAGCUCAACAUAUAAAAAAUUUAAAACCCCCAACAUGUUAGUCCAACACAGGUAUGCAUACAAGGAAAGAUUCAAAAAAGUAAAAGGAACUCGGCAAACACAAACCCCGCCUGUUUACCAAAAAACAUCACCUCUGGCAUAAUAAGUAUCAGAGGCAAUGCCUGCCCAGUGACAAUAGUUUAACGGCCGCGGGUAUUCUGACCGUGCAAAGGUAGCAUAAUCACUUGUUCUCUAAAUAAGGACUUGUAUGAAAUGGCCACACGAGGGUUUUACUGUCUCUUACUUUCAAUCAGUGAAAUUGACUUUCCCGUGAAAGAGGCGGGAAUAAAAAAACAAGACGAGAAGACCCUAUGGAGCUUUAAUUAACUAAAUCAAGACAAAUUAUAUACAACACCAUAAGGUUCAACAAACUACUAAUUGAUUUAGCAAUUUAGGUUGGGGGUGAACCCUCGGAAAUAUAAACCAACUUCCGAGUAAUUUUAAUCAAGACAUACAAGUCAAAAAAACCUUUAUAUUAUCACUGAUCCAUUACUAAUGAUCAACGGAAUAAGUUACCCUAGGGAUAACAGCGCAAUCCUAUUUAAGAGUCCAUAUCGACAAUUAGGGUUUACGACCUCGAUGUUGGAUCAAGACAUCCCAAUGGUGCAGCCGCUAUUAAAGGUUCGUUUGUUCAAACGAUUAAAAGUCUUACGUGAUCUGAGUUUCAGACCGGAGUAAUCCAGGUCGGUUUCUAUCUGUUGUUGCGCCCCUCCCAGUACGAAAGGACAAGAGAGGCGAGGCCCACCUUAACAUAGGCGCCUUAAAUAUUUAGAUGAUUAAAUCUUAAUCUACUAUUAUCACACAAUAAAACUGCCCGAGAAUAAGGCCU